rnacentral:rRNA from 1 species
AUUGAACGCUAGCGGCAGGCCUAACACAUGCAAGUCGAGCGAGCGGCGGACGGGUGAGUAAUAUAUGGGAAUCUGCCUAGUGGCGGGGGAUAACUACUGGAAACGGUAGCUAAUACCGCAUACCAUCAGAUGGACCCAUAUGGGAUUAGCUUGUAGGUGGGGUAACGGCUCACCUAGGCGACGAUCCCUAGCUGGUCUGAGAGGAUGACCAGCAACACUGGGACUGAGACACGGUCCAGACUCCUACGGGAGGCAGCAGUGGGGAAUAUUGCACAAUGGGCGCAAGCCUGAUGCAGCCAUGCCGCGUGUAUGAAGAAGGCCUUCGGGUUGUAAAGUACUUUCAGUGGGGAGGCGUUACCCACAGAAGAAGCACCGGCUAACUACGUGCCAGCAGCCGCGGUAAUUC